AACAAUAGCGAAUAAUAAAACAAAUAUUCAAUAAACAUUACGGGCUAAAUGGCUUAAGCUACGAAGAUGUAAUUCGUGUAGUUGACGAAGUAAAAGAAGUAACGGGAGCAAAAGGCGGAUUUCCCAGCCUCGUUGAAAUGGAAACGGCAUUAGAAAGGCAUACAUUUCUAGGCAAAGUCUUACGCAUCACCCAAGGAGCUGAUGCUGACGAUAAAAUAAUGGGAUUGGUAAGAAAAAAAAUCGAAUUAUGUGAACUAAAACCAUAUGGCAUAAACUUUGACAAUUUACGUGAUAUUAUUAUCAAAGCAAGACUGGCAAAGCGUAUAGAUAAAUCCACUGAUGUAAAGGCUCAAUUAAA